UGCGUAGGCGGCUUAUUAAGUCAGUAGUGAAAUCCUGCAGCUUAACUGUAGAACUGUUAUUGAUACUGGUUUUCUUGAAUAUAGUUGAGGUAGGCGGAAUGUGUAAUGUAGCGGUGAAAUGCUUAGAUAUUACACAGAACACCGAUUGCGAAGGCAGCUUACUAAGCUAUGAUUGACGCUGAGGCACGAAAGCGUGGGGAGCGAACAGGAUUAGAUACCCUGGUAGUCC
rnacentral:rRNA from 1 species